rnacentral:rRNA from 1 species
GACGUAGGGUGCGAGCGUUGUCCGGAUUUAUUGGGCGUAAAGAGCUCGUAGGCGGCUCGUCGCGUCGACCGUGAAAACCCGCGGCUUAACUGCGGGCUUGCGGUUGAUACGGGCGGGCUAGAGUUCGGUAGGGGAGACUGGAAUUCCUGGUGUAGCGGUGAAAUGCGCAGAUAUCAGGAGGAACACCGGUGGCGAAAGCAGUCUGCUGGGCUUACUCUGACACUGAGAUGCGAAAGCGUGGGGAGCGAACGGG